GGAGAGGGCUGUGGCUCAAUGGCAGAGCAUCUCCUUGGCAAGCAGAAGUUUCCUGGUUCAAUUCCAGGCAUCUCCA
rnacentral:tRNA from 1 species